UAUAAUCAUAUUUAUUCAUUUGGCUUUCGAACCAAAUAUAUCACUUCUUCAAUCCUCUUGGAGCUUUUCUAUGUAGCAUUGGGAUCCAUGCUACCCAUAAUCCACACAAGAAUUCUCAACUAUACAGAUAAUUAGGCUCCAUAUCUAGUAGGAUCUCGGUGCAUAACUAGGAUUAUAAUAUCUCUUAGCAUAAAAUUUCAAUGCACAUGACAUCUAAGUAUGGCAC
rnacentral:lncRNA from 1 species